GACAGAGGUCCCGAGCGUUGUUCGGAUUCAUUGGGCGUAAAGGGUGUGUAGGAGGCUAGGUAAGUCAGGUGUGAAAUCUCAGAGCUUAACUCUGAAACUGCGCUUGAUACUGCUUAGCUAGAGGAUCGGAGGGGGUAACGGAAUUCAUGGUGUAGCAGUGAAAUGCGUAGAUAUCAUGAGGAACACCGGUGGCGAAGGCGACUACCUGGCCUGUUCUUGACGCUGAGGCGCGAAAGCUAGGGGAGCAAACGGG
rnacentral:rRNA from 1 species